GAUUAGAAGGCCAUCAUCAUCCUGGCAAAUUCCUCAUAACUAACUAGACCAUCCCCAUCCAAAUCAGCCUCUCUUAUCAUCUGUUCAGCUUCCUCCUCUGUUAAUCUCUCUCCCAAAUUUAUCAUCACUUGCCUUAGCUCAUUAGCUGAUAUAUAUCCAUCCUGGUUUCUGUCAAAUACUUUGAAAGCUUCUUUUAGCUCCUCAGCAACAUUUUCCUUCAUUUUCCGUCCCAUAAUGUUCAAGAACUCCUGAAAAUCUAUUGUUCCAUUUCCAUCAAUAUCGACUUCACUUAUCAUGUCUCCAACUUCUUCUUUGGUAGGAUGUCCAUCCAGCGAUUGUAUAAUGGUAGCAAGUUCUUCCAUCGUAAUGAAGCCAUCUGAGUCCUUGUCAAUCAAGCAAAAGGCCUCGCGGAACUCUGCAAUCUGAUCUUCAGUAAGCGCGCAUUAUGUCUUCAAAUUUUCAAGAUUUGCUGAUCGCUGAAAGGAGGAGAGAAGAAGCAGAGGAAAACUGUUUUUUGUG
rnacentral:misc_RNA from 1 species